AAUGAACGUUGGCGGUGCGCCUAACACAUGCAAGUCGAGCGAGAAAUUUUCUUCGGAAAGAGUAGAGCGGCGGACGGUUGAGUAACACGUGAGAAUUUGCCCUUUAGUGAAGAAUACCUUCGGGAAGUUGAAGUUAAUACUGCAUAAGUCCCUUCGGGGAGAAAGGUGGCAUAUUGCUGCCGCUAAAGGAUAAGCUUGCGGGCCAUCAGCUUGUUGGUAAGGUAAAGGCUUACCAAGGCAAUGACGGCUAGCCGGCCUGAGAGGGUGAUCGGCCAGACUGGAACUUAGACACGGUCCAG
rnacentral:rRNA from 1 species